UAGUCCACGCCGUAAACGAUGUCUACUUGGAGGUUGUGGCCUUGAGCCGUGGCUUUCGGAGCUAACGCGUUAAGUAGACCGCCUGGGGAGUACGGUCGCAAGAUUAAAACUCAAAUGAAUUGACGGGGGCCCGCACAAGCGGUGGAGCAUGUGGUUUAAAUUCGAUGCAACGCGAAGAACCUUACCUACUCUUGACAUCCAGAGAAGCCAGCAGAGAUGCAGGUGUGCCUUCGGGAGCUCUGAGACAGGUGCUGCAUGGCUGUCGUCAGCUCGUGUUGUGAAAUGUUGGGUUAAGUCCCGCAACGAGCGCAACCCCUAUCCUUGUUUGCCAGCACGUAAUGGUGGAACUCCAGGGAGACUGCCGGUGAUAAACCGGNGGAAGUGGGACGACGUCAAGUCAUCAUGGCCCUUACGAGUAGGGCUACACACGUGCUACAAUGGCGUAUACAGAGGGCAGGCAAGCUAGCGAUAGUGAGCGAAGUCCCAGAAAGUACGUCGU
rnacentral:rRNA from 1 species